rnacentral:rRNA from 1 species
GACGAACGCUGGCGGCGUGCUUAACACAUGCAAGUCGAGCGAGGCCCCUCCUUCGGGAGGGUGUCCUAGCGGCGAACGGGUGAGUAAAACGUGUGCAACCUGCCCUCAGCUCUGGGAUAACUCCGGGAAACCGGGGCUAUAUCCGGACCGACCUUCUCGCGCCUUUGGGGGGGCGGGAGGUGGGUUGGCUGGGGGUGGGCCCGCGGCCCUACCGCUAGGUGGUGGGGUAGGGGGCCACCAAGGCGAAGCCGGGUCACCGGCCUGGUAGGGCGACCGGCCACACUGGGCCUGAGCCACGGCCCAGACUCCUACGGGAGGCAGCAGUGCGGUAGAGUGCGCUAUGCGCUGAAGCCUGACGCAGCCACGCCGCGUGGGGGAAGAAGGCCUGCGGGUUGUAUACCUCUGUCCGCAGGGACGAAGCGAUAGUGACGGUACCUGCAGAAGAAGCACCGGCCAACUACGUG